CGCCCCGGGAACGGCGCGCGGGCGGGGCGCCGCGACUGCACGAUGAGAAUCUCAAUGACUCUCGGCAACGGAUAUCUCGGCUGUCGCAUCUAUGAAGAACGUAGCGAAAUGCGAUACUUGGUGUGAAUUGCUAGAAUCCCGCGAACCAUCGAGUCUCU
rnacentral:rRNA from 1 species